AUCGAACGCUGGCGGCAGGCUUAACACAUGCAAGUCGAACGAGUGGCGGACGGGUGAGUAAUGCUUGGGCACCUUGCUUAUGUAGGGGGAUAACUACGGGAAACUGUAGCUAAUACCGCGUACCAUAGGUUGAGCCCAAGUGGGAUUAGGUAGUUGGUGAGGGAAAGGCUCACUAAGCCGACGAUCUCUAGCUGGUCUGAGAGGAUGACCGGCCACACUGGGACGGAGACACGGCCCAGACCCCUACGGGAGGCAGCAGUGGGGAAUAUUGCGCAAUGGGGGCAACCUGACGCAGCCAUGCCGCGUGAGUGAAGAGGGCCUUCGGGUUGUAAAGUUCUUUCGGUAGCGAGGCGUUAACUACAGAGAAAGCACCGGCUAACUCCGUGCCAGCCGCCGCGGUAAUUC
rnacentral:rRNA from 1 species